CUGGCUCCGGUUCACGCCUUCCGCACCCACGCGUGGGCGACCCGGCGCA
rnacentral:ncRNA from 1 species